GUUGGUCCGAACUGUGCGGUUCACACUACAUGACUUGCUCUCUGUGAAAUCAGGAGUGUUCACGUUGUUGAUCAGUUCACACCACACGACAUAACGUGACUGCCCCACAACAGGAGGUAACGCACUACACGAGUUGAGAACAACUCUAUCACCCGGCGAUUCUAUCUUGUCCACAAACCACGUUUUGUCACGAAAAAUCACGCGAUAAAACAAACCGGAAAUGACGCGAAACAACACGCGCACCAGUAAACCCACAGAAGAAGAAUGAAGACGACGCGCAAAACUUUUGUUUGUAUAUAUAGACUUCAGACAGAAAUUCGUGCUGCAAACCGUUUGCGCGAUGCAAAGCCGCAAAAGAAAAAAAUGAAGAGAUGUGUAUGUGGAGAAGUGGAUCAACACCACACGAGGACAGCAGGGAUUUAAGAGUUGGAGACACCAUCAACGGAAGGAGAGUGGCAUAGCCGUGGACUUCGAAAGGAAGUGGCAGUUUCCACAUUGCUUUGGGGUACUUGCUACCACUCCAGCUGUAGCAGACUGCUGACCAAAACAUGGUUGAUGGGCAAUGGAAGAAUCGUGGGACGGGUGCUUUUCAACCGAUGAACACCACCUCACAUCGCAAUUGUAUGGCAACAGCAAAAGUGCAACGCAAUCUGAUGCGGGACUACUUUGUCUCACCAGCGUGUAGUGUUUAUUGGCAAGUUCAACACAUUUUAAAAGGAACUGAUGUAGAGUUAUCCCUGCAAACAGCAGAUUAAAGCCAGUUAUUGUCAGUUUAGGACAUUUGUUUUCUUGUGUGUUCUAAAGUCCUGUAUUUGUAAAGAACACAAUGUGGUUCACUUUUUCAUUGUUUUAAGUAUUCUGUUUAUUGUUGUGUUAUUAUUCAAUUAAUUUUAAUUGCAUACAAAUCAAAAGGUGCAGGAAUGUAACAAAUAAAGGCAAUCUGCAUGUUGCAA